AUUUGCAAUUGUUCCACAAGGCUCUGUCCUGGCUGUAGUUGAGUCAACAGGAGUCCGGAAGCCAAGGAAUUUUUUCCUAUCACCUUUCUCCAUGCCAAUACUUUAAACAACAACAGACAAGAAGAAAACAGCUACACUACAAUGUGCACGUGUACCAUAACGAGACAAAAGAAUACAAAAGCCAGCCAAUUCAAAGUGAGAAAGCCUGGAGGCUUUUGUCUCUAAAGUUGAAAAAAAACCCACCUCCAUCAAAUCUGAAGCAUUUUCAGAAUAGGAACAAUUCAUCCAACUUUAACAAGGUCUUCACCUAGCUUUAUGCCAGAAGAACCAGGCCUCUGAAAGAGUCACCAUAAAUCUAAGCCAUACAUCUUGAUUAAACAGUAAAUCACUGCUUGUGCAUUCAGAGUACCUUCAGCCUGAUUCUGCAUGAAGGAAAUGAACAAGACAUCAGAGCGCUGAUUUGCCGAAAUCGGACCAGAGGUGAUUUAAAGCAAACACACACAAACUUACCGAAGACCGUGUUCAUUUGGGGGAGAGGAAACUUAAAACCACAGAAAGGAACCAUACCUCUUCAGGCCACGUGUCGUUUUCAUACUUGUCAAUUUAUCUGGCACACAAUAUAACUGCACAUGAGAGCUUUCUAAGACCAGUUAUAUUACAUGUGACAUAAUGUUGCCGAAUUCCUAUUUACUUUCAGAAAUAUAAAAACAAGUCCCUCCCAAGGUUAAAGCACUUCUUUAACCAGGUUUGGUUUUCUCCUUUAUCAGGCAAGAUUUAAUACUUUGCCCUCUUGAAGAGAUUGCUAUUAAUUUCUAACUACAUUCCAACUAUUUCUGCAAA